rnacentral:rRNA from 1 species
AUACGUAGGUGGCAAGCGUUGUCCGGAAUUACUGGGCGUAAAGGGUGCGCAGGCGGACAUUUAAGUGAGAUGUGAAAUACCCGGGCUUAACCCGGGCAGUGCAUUUCAAACUGGGUGUCUGGAGUGCAGGAGAGGAGAACGGAAUUCCUAGUGUAGCGGUGAAAUGCGUAGAGAUUAGGAAGAACACCAGUGGCGAAGGCGGUUCUCUGGACUGUAACUGACGCUGAGGCACGAAAGCGUGGGUAGCAAACAGGAUUAGAUACCCUGGUAGUCCACGCCGUAAACGAUGAGUACUAGGUGUAGGAGGUAUCGACCCCUUCUGUGCCGCAGUAAACACAAUAAGUACUCCGCCUGGGAAGUACGAUCGCAAGAUUAAA